rnacentral:lncRNA from 1 species
GGAUUUUUUGCUCCAAAAAAUUAAUUUUUUGACCGUUAUUUUACUAUUCAAAUCGUAAUUUUUGACUUCUUCUCUCACAUGUGAAUCCCACUUUUCUUCUACCGGUCAAAAAAUCAAUUUUCAAAAUCUCUACCAAACGAGUCCUAAAUUUGGUUGGUAAAAUGAAUUAUUACCAUUUCUAUUCUAUAUAAACCCUACAACUUCUAGCAUUCGGUGGGUUCACUGAAUUCAUUUGUGCUUAGAUUCGGAAUUGGAAGAUAAGGGCCAGAAGUUUAUGCGAAGUUAUCUGAAAUCGGCAGGUACACUGAAUUCAUUUGUGUUUAGAACAAUGGAAUUAUAUUUUUUUGCAUUGACGAGAUUAUCCAAUAAAUUUAGUGAAUUCAAACAAAGAUUUUGCAUCCUUUUAUAUUGAUUUUGAUAGUUAAACUUGUAAAAUCUUAAUACAGAAAUACUUAUUACAAUUUUAAAUAAAAAGAUUUCUAUAUUGAGUAGAUUAUCCAUAAAAUAUUGUUUACAUAACUUGAAAAGUCAUGCUUAUGUUCGAUCUUAUAUAUAUAUAUAUAGAGGAAAUAAACUGCGUAAAACUUUCAAUGUCUUUAACGUUCAUUGGGGAAAAUACAAAAAAAUAUAAUUCAUUUGUAUCUUAUUAUUGUGAAUGGGAAGAUAUUUUGUUCAACUAAUCAGGUAAUGUAUUAAUUUAUGUUUAAUAUCAUGUUUCCAACCAACUUGUAUAGAUUGGAUAAUUUCUUAAUAUAUCAUUUGUGUUUAUUUUGAGUAUAUAUAAAGAUGGAAAAAAAUAUUCUAUCAUAUAUCCUCAGAAACUCUUAAUCUUGAUUUAAGAGAGCAAUUUGUAAUAUAAACAUUUCAAUAGAAAUUUAUUUUCAAUCUUUAGUUCCCAACCUCUCUUUCCAAUAAAGGGAAAGUACAUUCAUAACCCCACUUUUUCCCAAUUAUAAUUAUCCCUAAUCCUCCAAGAAGGAUAGCCCAGCUUGCAGCUCAAUAUAUCAAAACAGAUGCACAAAUGGCUAAAUAUAAUCCCACACGCCAUAAGUAAGAAUUGAAAAAGAGGGGGAAAAAAAAGGGUAGAGAAGAAGUUACCAAUUCCCUCGAUUCUUUAAACAAAUUUCCUCACGAGACUCAUUUAAAAAUUCAAAAAUAUACAUGGAACCCUUGAAAAAUUAAAAUGUAUCAUUUCUACAAAUCCUCCGCACGAUGCCUUAUUUCCCUGCCUUUUAAGGCAUCCAUUUUGCUGCCUUAAGAGGCAUUUUAGGCAGCUGACUAUAUUAAUAAAAAAAUCGAGCCUGUCCCGCUUGGCCCAUAUCGGUUCUACCUACUGAAUACUGGACAGUCGUAAUGCAGCGAAGCCUCUACCAAGGCCACUAAACCUGAAUUGGAGAGAGCGACUAGCCCAUUUAAGGAACCAUACGUUACGCAUUUAAUUAAAACUCGUAGGGAAGUACACGUCAUGCAUUCCUGGUCUCAGGCCUUAAAUGCGUGACGUGUGCUUCCCUACGAGUUUUAAUUAAAUGCAUGACUUGUGCUUCCUUAAAUGGGUUAGAUGCUCUCUCCAAUUCAAGUUUAGUGGCCUUGGUGGAGGCGCUGUUGCAUAGCGACUGUCCAAUAUUCAGUAGGUAGGGGUUUAUCCUGGGGAGGGAUUUUUUUCCAGUAGGUAGGGUGUUAGUUAAAAUUGAAUUUUAAAGAAAAGAAAUUGACCAUCCAACUAUGUAAUUAAUUUUAUUUUUUUUUAAAAGUCUCAAAUAAAUUAUUUAAUGAGAAGGCAUGGAAAAAGACAUGUUAGUUAACAAAUUAUUAAAAAAAUUAAUUUUUUUUGAAAAAAUUAAAAAGUGCAAAUGAGUCUAGAAUGAAAUCAAUUUUCUUUAAUUUCAUUAUUAUUUAAAAUUCGUAAAAAGAAAAUUUAAAAAAUAAUUUUCUUUAGUUUUCUUUUUUAUUAUUAUUUAAAUAUAAGGAUAUAUUUCGAGCAUGAGCAUCCGAUUGGGUCCACCACUUUUUUGACAAUAGAACGGCAAUUCAACUCGUCGGCUCGAACCAAGCCACAUUUAGGGGAAACAGGCAUAGCGCGAGCCAGCUCGGGCUCGGGCCUUAAAGGCGUGAUGUGUGCUUCAACCUUAACUUCAUCCCGUGCUUUCCUUUCUGGAGAAGAGUUUGAAAGAAUAUGUACAAAAUCAUCUUGUAAAAUACAAAUCGUAGCCUCAUUUUGGUCUUCUUUUGAAUGAUUUUUACCUUUCUCUCACAUUUACUCUUAAUUAUGAGUUUCUUUUGGUUAUUUGAUUUGCAGCUUUAUUUCAAGUGUUCAAAAGAUCAAGAAAUUGCAACCUGGAUGGGAGAUUAAUGAACUAAGGUAUGUCAAUUUCAUAGUUGUUCCAUUCGAAGCAUAUUUGUUUCUUCAUGUUAGCUUUGUUUAAUUUUUCCAAUUCAUUCAAGUGUCCAUUUCUCAUGAUUUCCACUUCGAAUCUUGGGCAUAACUAAGGUAUGUCAAUUUCAUAGUUGUUUCAUUUUUCAUAGUUCUUUCAUUUUAGUAUUAUCUGUUCCUUUUAGUUAGCUUUUUUAAUGGUG